CUUCGCUCCAACAAAGUACCUUGUGAUGUCACACGCUGAAUCCACGAGGCUGAGGCGCUGCAGCGUGUCGGGGAACCGGCUUACAGACUUCUACCUGACCCGGCAGAAACGUGGACUGAUCUCCAUCAAAUUACCGAUGCCGCGCGCCUCCAUCCUCCAUCCUGCAUCCUGCUCCCAGCUCCGAUGGCGCGUACCCGGAAGUCCGGGGUGCUGAACCGGGUGGAUGCUCGCACGGCACAGUCAGAGCAGAUCUUUGUUACUACUGAUGCACAAUGCCUGCAGUGUACCAGCAUCACUCUCCUGUGCAGGAUGAAACAUAUCCAUCAACAGAUAAAAUACCACUGAAGGCUUUGACAGGACUUGAUUUUUUUUUCCAACAUAUUUAACAAAGAGAGAAAUUUGAUAACAAAAAGUUGCCCUUGGUACUUCUGUAAGCCUCCCUCACUGCUUUCCACUUUAUUUGCAGAAAAUGGGCCAAGUGCUUUAUAAAUAUGGCAUUCUGUCUGAUCAUGUUAGUUUUCUUUUAUUGUACAUUUGCAAGACAACUGGCCAAAAUGUAUUGCUACAUUUUCUAUAUACAUCUCUAAAUUCUAGUACAUGACAAAAUACUUGCUGCUCGACCACUAAAGGUAAAUCAGUGUAUAUACGUUUAUACAGCUACUAGUGAAAUAAAUGGAAGCUGAAUACAUUUUUUUGCAGUGAGCUCCCCCUUGUGGUGUUUUCAUGGCAAUCGGAAAAUUCUACAAUUCCAGCAAGAUUUCAGUGCAGAGCAUCUCUCCGUGAGCCCCAUAGCAAUGGUG